CGAAAUAGUUUGAGCUACAUAAUUAGUUCUUAUAGGGCGAUGAUAUACGUUGCAUAGUAUAAUUUAAAUAUUUAUUUAGGGGUGAAAGGCCUUUCAAAAACUAAGAUAUCUUGAUACCAUAAAAAUGUAUCUAGUACUUAAAACAGAUAUAAAGUGGUUAGGCUUUAUAUUCUUACAAUAUUUAUUUUAUAAGAGUAAUAGAUAUAACUAUCAAUUACAUUAUAAUUUAUCAUUACUAUUGUAAAAUAUGUAUUUAUUUAUGUGGUUUUAUAAUGAAAUUAUUACAUAUAUUAAUAAUGUUAACAUAAGUACUUUGUGAGACUUAAAUAACGAACUCGGCAAAAAUUUUCUUCAACUGUUUAUCAAAAACAUAACUAUAUGAGUAUUACAUAUAUAGCUAUUUCUGCUCAAUGUGUUUAUAAAUAGCCGCAGUACUUUGACUGUGCAAAGGUAGCAUAAUCAAUUGACUUAUAAUUGAAGUCUAGAAUGAAGGAAUCUAUGGGGAAACGCUGUUUCUUUUAAGCUUAUGGAAAUUGCUUUUAGUAGGUGAAAAAACCUACGUUUAAUUAAUAGACGAGAAGACCCUAGAAAUUUUAAUUAGAAAGUAAAGUUUCUUUUUUGUUGGGGCGACAUAGUAGCAAUUGAAACCUACUUUUUAAAUAAGAAUUUAAUAUAAAGAUUAAAUAAAUUACUCUAGGGAUAACAGCAUAAUAUUUAAAAGUUUGUGACCUCGAUGUUGGACUAGGAAAUUAUAGUUUAGAAGACUAUUACAGAAGGCUCUGUU
rnacentral:rRNA from 1 species